AUCAGUGGUUUAGUGGUAAAAUCCAUCGUUGCCAUCGAUGGGCCCCGUGUUCGAUUCACGGCUGAUGCA
rnacentral:tRNA from 1 species